GGCUGUGGCUCGGUGGUAGAGCACUUGCCUACCACACAAGAGGCCCUAAGUUCAAUCCCUAGUACCUCCA
rnacentral:tRNA from 1 species